rnacentral:rRNA from 1 species
UACGUAGGGGGCAAGCGUUGUUCGGAAUUACUGGGCGUAAAGGGCGCGUAGGCGGCACGGCAAGUCGCGUGUGAAAGCCCCCGGCUCAACUGGGGAGGGUCACGCGAUACUGGUCGACUCGAAGGCAGGAGAGGGUAGUGGAAUUCCCGGUGUAGUGGUGAAAUGCGUAGAUAUCGGGAGGAACACCAGUGGCGAAGGCGACUACCAGGCCUGUUUCUUGACGCUGAGGCGCGAAAGCUAGGGGAGCAAACGGG